CCUACGGGGGGCAGCAGUGGGGAAUAUUGCACAAUGGGCGCAAGCCUGAUGCAGCCAUGCCGCGUGUGUGAAGAAGGCCUUCGGGUUGUAAAGCACUUUCAGCGGGGAGGAAGGCGGUGAGGUUAAUAACCUCAUCGAUUGACGUUACCCGCAGAAGAAGCUCCGGCUAACUCCGUGCCAGCAGCCGCGGUAAUACGGAGGGUGCAAGCGUUAAUCGGAAUUACUGGGCGUAAAGCGCACGCAGGCGGUCUGUCAAGUCGGACGUGAAAUCCCCGGGCUCAACCUGGGAACUGCAUUCGAAACUGGCAGGCUAGAGUCUUGUAGAGGGGGGUAGAAUUCCAGGUGUAGCGGUGAAAUGCGUAGAGAUCUGGAGGAAUACCGGUGGCGAAGGCGGCCCCCUGGACAAAGACUGACGCUCAGGUGCGAAAGCGUGGGGAGCAAACAGGAUUAGAUACCCCAGUAGUC
rnacentral:rRNA from 1 species